UUUUCUUCUCUCAUACUCUUUGAGAUUAUUAGGGUUUGUUUCCUCCAUCAUCAAUCAAUCACGUUUAGGGUUUCUGCGUUAUCAAUGAAUCACUCUCUGCCUCUCAUUCGUUCCUCUAUGAAUCCGACUCUGAUCUUCGUCAUAAAGGUUAGAUUUUGUCAAUGGAUCAACUAUCAUUCUUGAUAUUUUACAUUUUAUAACUAAUAGUUUCUUUUGUUUUGUAUAUCUCAUGAAAUCAGUUGUAUUGCUCUCUUUCGGAUCUAGAUAUUGCAUUUGUUAAUAAUCUUCAAUCGAUUUUGGUGAUUACAACAGAAGAUUCAAGAUUUCACUGAAUCGUUUUUUCUUCAAUCUCUCCUUUGUGGUUUUCAUCAGAUUUCUCUCCAUUGAUUUUCAAUAGGUUGUUUUCUAUCCCGAUUUGAGUGUAUUUUUUUCUAUUAAAAUGCUCUCUGAUUCAUGAAAUCAAUCAUUUGAUCCCUAAAUGUCGAUUUUAGAUUUCAAAUUUAUUCCAGAAUCUAAUUUUCAUAUUAGGGUUCUGAGAUUUGUGGGUUUCUUUGGACACUAAUGGUCAUGGUGUAUCAAAGAACACAUAGAUGGGUCCGAUGGGGUUAGAUUUGUGUAUGUAACAAUGAUAACUUGCAAGAGAAUCUUCAAAGCCAACUUGAUGGUGGGGCAAAAGAAGGAAAGGAUGGUUUGUAAUUUGCAAGACACUCAACCUAGGAAGAAAAAUAGGCUUAUGACUUCAUCUAAUAAGUGAAUAAUUGUGGAUACAUCAAGAACACCAAUGACACAAAGGUAGUAGUAUGGUCGGUUGAGAAUUUUGAGUGUUUUCAUAUGUUUUCAAGGCUUGGUGCUUAUUAUCUUCAGAUCUCUAAAAGACGUUGAAUUGCAAGAGUUUCGAAGUACAUCAUCCGCAAAAGUUCGAGAAACAAAUCUCACAAGCAAAGAAAGCAUAUAUCGAAAGAGGCAAGUGAGUUUGAAGGUAUCUAUGAUGAUUUGAGAAUUGCAUUCAAAAUCUCCGAUUCCGGUGAAAAUAGGGAAAAUAUGAGUUAGAAAGGGAUCUGCACCAAAUUGGCAUCACCAAGCUUCCAAACCUCUGGUGAAUCUUACAUUUAUGUGGAAUUUUAUCCCAAUUCUGAAUUAGUUUUUGGAUGAAUGUUUCUAUCUUCUUCGUUUUCACAUGUGAGUAUCAGGAAAUCAUGUCUCAGAUGAGUAUUAUUGUCCACGUUAUUUAUUUUGGCACACAAGAUUCAUAACUUCUUUUAUAAUAAAACUAUAAAUUUGUUAUAACAUGCAAUAGUGGAUUGAGAGUGUGCUAAUGGUUCUUAUUUGUUAGUACCAUAUGCAUAAACACCGCAAUCCUAUACCUGUGAAAUAUUUUUUACCUAUAUCCCAUACCCGUAUCGGGAUACCCGUCCCAAAUGAUUCUGCUUUCGAAUAUACCCAUUGGGCUCGGGUUACAAAAUUUUCGAUUCCUACUAAUGCGGUGCCUUAAAUCAUUUUUAUUUCUUUUGGGCUUGGUUAUAAUAGAAUCAUAGGUAAGAUCAUUUAUAUCAUCUUUUUUUAUUAAAUAUACUUACUUGGAUAACUUUUAAACCUUAACUAGGUUGUUGUAAAUAAAUUAUCAAGUGUUCUGUUUUUGUCCAUGAUGGAUGUUUUUUAGAAAUGGCAUGGAUGUUCGUGUUAUGAGAGUGGUUCGUAAUACUACUGCAAAUAUAAGAGUGCAGCUGCAAAUUUGUAAGAACCUAACUAGAUGUCAUAGAUGGUUUAAAAUUUCAUUUUCUACUAUACUAAUUGAAAAGGGUACGUCUACUUUAAAACGAUUUUUAAAGUUAUUUUCCUUUUUUUAACAUUUAUUUCACUAUCACUCCUUCGAAUUCUAUUACUUAACUAAAAGAACAAUAGUAAUAUAAACUUUCAUAUUGGUUGAUGAAGUGAAAAAUAUUGAAGCAGAUCAAUAUUUUUACAACUCAUAUAAGUUUUGGCAUUUUAAAGAACUGGCAACGCUUUUUUUUCUUUUUCCAUUUGAGAUUAUGAACACCACAAAUAGUAUAAAUUAUAUUUUUGUGCCGAAAGUUAUUUUUUUCGUGUGCAGAGCAUCUAAUUAUUGGAUUCCAUUUAUCGGUGUUUUCCCGACAAUGGUUGUAGUCGUUAGGGACAGUAGUUGCACGGUUUGUGGCUUGUGAUUCGGCAAGAGUAACAUGGUUGCAAGUGUGUUUAUGGCUUAAGUUGCAGGCUCCUCCUUCAUUCGAGUCUUUGGGGCAGGCUCUGUUUUUAUGCCUUUGUUUGGACGUGCCAAAGAGGAACAAAAAAGCGAGAUGCGGUCUUUGUAAUGAUGGUGUGGAGGAUUUGGAUGCGAAGAAACGAUAAGCUUUUCAAGGGGAGUAACAUGUCAUAGACAAGAGUAAUGCAAGACAUUAAAUAAACAACCCUUUGGUAGGUGAUGAAGAGAUCUAAGAUUCUAGGUGUUACGGCGUCGAAGUGAUUGUCAUUUAGCGUCUUCUAUGUUGGUUAAGAUAGGUGGUAUAUCGGUGUUGUGAUUUUGUUUCUGCAGGUUGAUGUUUGUUUGGUGUUUUUGUGGUGUAUGAUGUACUAAGUUGUUAUGGGGGCUUGGGUUAAAUCCUUGAUGAGUCCUAGCCCAUGUUUUGGGUGUUCGUUGAAUAAAGUUUGGUUUAAGAAAAGUAACUAUUGUAUAUUUGGCAUGUGAAUAUGAAUUCAGUGUUGAUUAAAUUGUAAUAUUUACGUGAGCA